rnacentral:rRNA from 1 species
UACGUAGGGUGCAAGCGUUGUCCGGAAUUAUUGGGCGUAAAGAGCUCGUAGGCGGUUUGUCACGUCGGAUGUGAAAACCCGAGGCUUAACCUCGGGCCUGCAUUCGAUACGGGCUGACUAGAGUUCGGUAGGGGAGACUGGAAUUCCUGGUGUAGCGGUGAAAUGCGCAGAUAUCAGGAGGAACACCUGUGGUGUAGACGGCUUUCUGGACCAUAACUGACGCUGAGACACGAAAGCGUGGGUAGCAAACAGG